CCCCCGAAGGAUUCAGUCAUAUGAAGUCUGCCUGGAUCCCAGUGGACUGUGUUUGGAAAUGCAGCUAAGAAGAUGAAGGACGUUGGACAGCAGUUAUUCAGUUCACAAGUACUUGAUGGACAUAACUCUUUGACCAUGUCGCCUAGACAACCUCAUGCUAAUAGAGCCACUCGGCCAGACAGACAAGAAGCUCAGGCGGCUUUGUAUCAAGGCUCAGAGGCCGAGGCCGCCGUGAUGACCACGGCCACGUGUGUGAAGUGCAAGGCUGUUCACCAGAUCCCUCUUCAGGAUUUGAAAAAGGGGCCGGGGCAGAGCCACAAGGAGGACAGAUACGUGUGCUUCCAGUGCAGCCUUGGCGUGGCUUCUCCCCACUUUCCUUUCGGGAACAGUGAUCCCAGCGCGACUCGCGUAGGAAAUAAAGCCGACACCAUCGCCAGUCCUGGCAAUAACAAAUUCAAGGUAAGGAACUUUAAACCAGGCAAAUACUAUUGUGAUAAAUGUCGCUUUUCCACGAAGGACCCUCUGCAGUACAGGAAGCACAUGCUUCAGCACGAAGAGAUCAAGUUCAUUUGUUCUCACUGCAGCCACAUUUCCUACACGAAGGGGGAGUUUCAGAGACACUUGGUGAAACACACAGGCAUCUUCCCUUACCGAUGCGAGUACUGCGACUAUGGUGCUAUUAGGAACGACUAUAUUGUCAAACACAGGAAGAGAGUUCACGAGAGGGCUGGCGGAAAGCGGCAGCCCAAAGUCCUGGCCAAGCUGGAGCCGAAAAGGACCAGCGCAUCCAAACCAAACGCGGAGCUUUCCAAAGCCUCCGAUCCAGGCCCCGCACUGCAGAGCAAGUUGUCCGAUCAGCUCUCCAGGUUCUCCCUCCAGACAAACAAAGACCGAGUGCGCAGCAUCACGCUCGUACCCGAGCCGAAGGAACACCAAAAAGACGUGGUGUGUGUUCCAAACAAAGGGACCCUGUUGGAGCCCAGUGAAGUCAGCGUGUUGGAGAACAAGAGCGUGGAGGUGGAAGUGUUAUCCCCGGCCACAGAGCCCGUGCAGCCCGGGAUGCCGUUGACCGUGGUGGCGCCAGCGGAGCUCGUGGUACCGGCCAACUGUCUGGCCCAGCUGAUAGAUGUGAAGGUUGUCAAUGGAACACAGCAGCUUGUUCUGAAGCUGUUUCCUUUGGAAGAGAAUAAUGGCCUAGAAGCUGGCGGGGGUGAUGGAGGUCAUUCUGAACGGAGGACUAACGAGAAGGGUUCAGAUGAUCAAGGGAAAAUGCUCCCUGCAGAACACACCAAGUCCCUGACAACGGAAGGGGGUGUUGGAGAACCUGGAGGCCUUGAUAGCCUUCAGUCCGUUCAGAAACAAGUUAAAAAUGUGAAAUGGGUACGGUCUUACGAUGUGUUCAUGUCAGAUUCCAGUGUGUACCCCUGUGGAGAAUCCCUUCUCAAGUCUGCCAGAGUUGAGGAUUUGCAGAAAAAAAGUCAUAUGUAUCCACAUAGAACUCCUCUUCCUCCCGUUGCCUUACAAGGUCACUCUCCAUCAUCUAUAGUGAAAAACAGUGUUUUGUGUGGCCUUGGCACUGCCCCAAAUCCUUUUCCAUAUAAAGCUGCUGUUUCUUUUACUGAAGAUGGGAGGCAUUUGCACAGGGACCCCCAGAAGUUUCUUCCUCUGGCUGCAUCACCUGCAGCCAUUUCCUUCUCGGGAGAAAAGGGCUUUUUGCCCGUCAGUAAAAAUGACUUGGAAUCUAGAAGUGAGAUCAGUAUUCCUGUGAGAAUGGUUACAUCUAGGAGGCUGAAAGACAACCAGACAGAGGAAUAUAAGGCAGUUUCAAAUACAGGCCAGAUUUCCUCUCAUCGUAAAAGUGAAUAUUUACACAUAAACAUAACAGGAGAAGACAGAAUCAGAGCUCAGCCGCCUGGGGAUAAACUUUGGGAGUUAAAGAAUUCCGAAAGGACUAGUGACUCUUUCAGUGGCCCAGUCAUCUCAUCCGUAUUUUCUCUGAGCUCCGGAUCUGAAGACGUCCCUGAGGGCGUUAAGUGGAAUAGCUCCACAUCCAAAAUAAAGUCAAUUGAACUGCUGCGCAGAAAGAUCGCUCAGUUAAUUGAAUCCUGUGGCAAGCCUCCCUCCCUGGCUGCCAAUAAUGCACAUCGUCGCUCCGUAGGGCAAGCGGCAAAGGUAACUUCAAAAGCUAGCCCUGAAGGUAUUCCAGCAAUUAAUGUGGCACUUACUGGAGCUGGCUAUUCCACACACUCUCUCUCAAAACCUCAGGAUGACAGCGGUAUCAGUAGACAGCUUACCCGUCAGCACAUAUACCCACAGUUUGUAGAAGGCAGCCAUGGGAAAACCGAAAGCCAAGUAACCAGGAAGGCCCAUGUUGCGACUCCCGUGUUGAUCCCCAAAGGAGCCGUGUUGAGGGUUCUUAAUUCCUCUGAGGAUGCCCACAUCAUCGAGGCUACAUGUGAAGCGCCCGUCAGCAUCCCUUACAGUGAGACACAGUUAAUAAAACCCAUUCCGUUCUGCCCCGCGAAGCAGACAGAUUCAGACUUACAGUCUUCAGCAAGUGAAAGUGGGCCAGUAGACAUGUCCCACAGCCUCGACACAUCUCUUCGGCCUAAACCGAGAAAAGAGAGUGCUGUUGGUGGCGCCGUCCUGAAAAAAACUGGCCCUCUGCAUGGUCAGCAAGGAAGCGGUGAAUUGAGUAAGCAAGGGAAAGUGCCCUCCAGAAGUCUUCCCGUAAAUAAAAACAAAGCCAAGCAAGUAAAUUCAUCCAAGAAGAAAAGCAAAAUGCAGGCUGACCCUGGCCUCUGUCUCAAGGAUCCUUCAAUUUUUCAGGUUGCAAGACAGCUUCGACUGAUAGCCGUUAAACCGGACCAGUUGAUUAAAUGCCCCCGUCGGAACCAGCCCGUCAUUGUGUUAAACCAUCCUGAUGUUGAUUCACCGGAAGUGACCAAUGUGAUGAAGGUAAUAAACAAGUACAAAGGCAAUGUCCUCAAAGUCGUCUUAUCGGAGAGGACCAGGUGUCAAUUAGGCAUCCGACGGCAUCACGUUCGGCUGACCUACCAGAACGUGGAGGAAGCCAAUCAAAUAAAAAGGCAGAUGAUGUUGAAAAUGAAACUUAAAAAAGUCCACAAAAACAACUACCAGGUGGUGGAUUCCUUGCCUGAUGAUUCACCGUGUACAUUUAAGUGCUGGUUUUGCGGACGGCUGUACGAAGACCAGGAAGAGUGGAUGAGUCAUGGCCAACGGCAUUUGAUAGAAGCAACUAGGGAUUGGGAUGUUCUUUCUUCCAAGGGCAAAUAAGUGAAAAAUUGGUGUUUGAAGCAAAUUGGUUUUUUUUUUUUACUUUUAGUUUAUUCUGAUUAGGAUUGAUUUGUUGUUUUCCCAUCCCUAACUCAGUAGGAGAAAUAGAGGUUGUAGGAAUGGGAGGACCGUUAAUUGUUCAGAUCCCUUGUAGGAAUGUUGAGAACCAGGCGUCUGGUUUCGCCUGAUACCUGACUGGAACUCGGAAGGUAUUUGAAGCCCCUGAAGGAGCACAGAUUUAUGGACAUGCAUUUUUCUGGAGAGAAGUGAGACUUGCAACACAAUUUCAGUGGGACCUGAGACCUUUCUGUUUAGCAGCCCGGUUUCUGAGUGGAUACCAACCUCUUGUCAUCCAGGGAGAGGUCCUGCUUUCCCCAUUGCUCGCUUUGCUAGGAAGCAGCUCAGAACAUUCCUGCUCCCCUCUCCAUCAUCAGGUGUCAAGACUGAUGCUGAGCUGAACAGCACCUUCGUGUGCAUCAGAAAACAGCCCGCCCUCUUGGGCAAUACUCAGUUGGCAGAUGGAGCUUGGACUGCGUCUUAGUCCUUCCUUGCCCACUCAGCUGGGCCCCAACGGUCCUGCAGAAGGCGAACGGCUCAGACACACGGCAGCCCGGCCCUUCAGUGCUCCUCGCUGUGGCAUUCAGGCCUGUGCUGGGGCAGGGAAUGCCACUGGGGUUGUCACAGCUGAGGAAGACGCGAGAGAGAUUCCUGUUGCAUUGGGUAGUCAGAGAUGGAUAUUUCUUUUUCCCCACAGGGAAAGUCUUAGAUUACCCUCUGAUGGGGGUGAGAGGGGUGUUGCAGUUCUUCUGUGUCAUUGUUUCUCAUUACAGUAGUUAACGUCUUAUGUGUAAUUUGGGACAUGACCACUGAGUUGGUUAAUUUUCGUUGAAAUUUGAAAUUUGGAUUUUUUAUGUGUAUAUAUGUGUAUGUACACAUAUCAGUAUUUUUUACCAUAUGAAAACUAAUACCUAAUUUUCUGAUUUCCUAUUUUAUAAUGAAAUUAGGUGGUUUGGAAAAUAUAAAAUGUUUUAUAUUCUAGAAAUAACUUAUUUUGGAAGUACCUUUUUAUAAUGGUCUGAUCUCACUUUGAGCAAAUGAAAGCACAGUCGAGAGUGGGUCGGAUUUGUAUGAACAAACGGAGUGGCCACCCCGGCGAUCAUUUCAUCACAGGCCUUGGUCCCACACAUUUCCCGUCGGGGCGUUCUGAGCAGUGGAGCGCGCCUGCCUCGCUGCAUACAGGAGACCAUGCGCAGGUUUGCCCGUGUGUAGGUCUGUGCCCCUCCAACGUGAAAGGAGCCUCCUGAGGCAUUCAGAGAAGAGAAGGCUGUGAUUUUCUUUCUCCUCCUAUACCUCACUACAUAGUCGCAUCUUUCCUGAAAGCUUAGUCUGGCCUUUCGGGAGAGAGCCAUGAAUCGGGUCAGUGUUAUGUGUCAACAUGAAGUAUUUACACUUUGCAGCAUCAACCCUUUUGCAAGUAUUACCUAAAGCAGCUUACGUCCUUGUACAGAGCUCACGUUCAUGAGGGGGUUCAGAAUUACAGUACUUGUUCAGGAAUCAGGAAGGCUCCUGGGAGUCGUAAAAAGUGAGGAUGCAAAGACUGGCUGUCUUCCUUCCCUAUGUGAAGAGCAUUAGAAAAUAGCUUGUUAGCAUGUAGGUAAGUGUGAAAUGCGCUGUAGCGUCAUUUCUAACAAGAUUGGAGAAGGGAGCAGAGCUGGGUUGAGUAUUUGUGUGCUCUUUCUUGCCAUGAUUUUGAAGGACCUCCUUUCACUAAACUUUACUAAUAGUACUUAACUAAUGACAUCAUUUUACGCUUAUUUUUAACAGAUUUUCUUUUGGGGAGCAGAAAUGAGAUGAUCUUAUAUUUAUGAUAUGACAAAGAGUGAACGUUGUUUGUUUUUUCUAAUGACUUAAUAGAUUAUAUUUUACUCAAAUUUUUUCCCCAGCCCCAAACAAUUUUGUGAGCCCCUGUUCUGGGCCAAGUGCUGUUGAACUAAAUGGAACACAAUGUAUUAACCCUCCAAAGCCCCUGCCUCCUGCUCUGGGACCUCCCGUAGAAGCCGUCGCAGGAAGUGAAGGUGUGAUGCUGCCCCGCCUUUCGAAGACGGUGGGAACCUGUCAGUGUCAACGUGAGAAAAAAUAAAACCUUGCAUAGCCCGUUUCAAGCACCCCUAGAGGUUCUGUGUUAACUGUGUGCUGCUGCGCUUUGGAAACAUUUAUAUAGAGAUUUAGAAGUUGGAGUAAAUUUUGUUAAAUAAAGCAACUGUCAACAUU